AUUGAACGCUGGCGGCAGGCCUAACACAUGCAAGUCGAGCGGAUGAAGGGAGCUUGCUCCUGGAUUCAGCGGCGGACGGGUGAGUAAUGCCUAGGAAUCUGCCUGGUAGUGGGGGAUAACGUCCGGAAACGGGCGCUAAUACCGCAUACGUCCUGAUGUAGAAAGUGGGGGAUCUUCGGACCUCACGCUAUCAGAUGAUCCUAGGUCGGAUUAGCUAGUUGGUGGGGUAAAGGCCUACCAAGGCGACGAUCCGUAACUGGUCUGAGAGGAUGAUCAGUCACACUGGAACUGAGACACGGUCCAGACUCCUACGGGAGGCAGCAGUGGGGAAUAUUGGACAAUGGGCGAAAGCCUGAUGCAGCCAUGCCGCGUGUGUGAAGAAGGUCUUCGGAUUGUAAAGCACUUUAAGUUGGGAGGAAGGGCAGUAAGUUAAUACCUUGCUGUUUUGACGUUACCAACAGAAUAAGCACCGGCUAACUUCGUG
rnacentral:rRNA from 1 species